AAUCAACGCUGGCGGCGUGCCUAACACAUGCAAGUCGAACGCGAAAAUGGAGCAAUCCAUGAGUAGAGUGGCAAACGGGUGAGUAACACGUGGGUGACCUGCCUUCGAGUGGGGGAUAACGUCCCGAAAGGGACGCUAAUACCGCAUAAUAUGCUGUCUUUUAAGAGAGAGACAUCAAAGCCGGGGACCGCAAGGCCUGGCGCUUGAAGAGGGGCCCGCGCCUGAUUAGCUAGUUGGUGGGGUAAUGGCUCACCAAGGCAACGAUCAGUAUCCGGCCUGAGAGGGCGGACGGACACACUGGGACUGAGACACGGCCCAGACUCCUACGGGAGGCAGCAGUGGGGAAUUGUUCGCAAUGGGCGCAAGCCUGACGACGCAACGCCGCGUGGAGGAUGAAGAUCUUCGGGUCGUAAGCUCCUUUCGAUCGAGACGAAUGGCCCUUGGGAUAAUACCCUGAGGGAGUGACGGUACCGAGAGAAGAAGCCCCGGCUAACUCCGUGCCAG
rnacentral:rRNA from 1 species